UACGUAGGGUGCAAGCGUUGUCCGGAAUUAUUGGGCGUAAAGAGCUCGUAGGCGGUUUGUCGCGUCUGCUGUGAAAACUCGGGGCUUAACCCCGGGCCUGCAGUGGGUACGGGCAGACUAGAGUGCGGUAGGGGAGACUGGAAUUCCUGGUGUAGCGGUGAAAUGCGCAGAUAUCAGGAAGAACACCCGUGGCUAAGGCGGCUCUCUAGUACGGUACUGACGCUGAGACGCGAAAGCCAGGGGAGCGAACGGG
rnacentral:rRNA from 1 species